UUCAAAAUGAGGCCCAGAGAACAUCUCAUGCUGUUUCUGUCAAAUGUGUUUGGCAUAGGCACUUUAAUUAUAUUGAAAAAUCGUAUACUCGGUACCCAUGAUGUCUCAUUUAAAGCUCAAGCCGUUUCAUAAAAUAUAUAGAAAGCAAAUAAGAUGACCAAAAGAACUAAAUGCAAUAGUGAACCCGAUUCCAAUAUUUUCAAUAUAUUGAUUGACUGCCUCGACCAGUCACUCGCUGGAUUAAAACCAACUGGUCCAAAUCAGAAAACGAAACAAGAAGCAAACAAACUGCAAAAUACAACUUUUUAUGUUUUGGUCCUUUCGGUUAGCAAAAUGGAAAAUGCAAUUGUGUACACGAUUUCCUUUCUUAGGCAAUCAAAGAAAUAAGAGAUUUAUUUUGUUGGUCAUUAAACAACAUGCCAUGUCAUUCUGUUGGCUGAUAAUAUUUCCUGCAGCCCCUUAAUAACCUAAACUUAGAAGUAGCGAAUUACCCUUAACAUUUUUCCAAAUUGUAUUGAUGCGGACACACGUCAAAAAUGUGAAGUAAAUACGUUUUUUAGUGAUUAAAUCGAUCAACAAAUUCUUUUGUUAACAAGAAAAAUACAUUGUAAAUAAACUCCCCCUCUCGGCUAUAUUACCCCUUAAAUUUGAAUAAUAUAUGGAAUUGCAAGCAGCAUA